rnacentral:rRNA from 1 species
GACGAACGCUGGCGGCGUGCUUAACACAUGCAAGUCGAACGGAAAGGCCCUGCUUGCAGGGUACUCGAGUGGCGAACGGGUGAGUAACACGUGGGUGAUCUGCCCUGCACUUCGGGAUAAGCCUGGGAAACUGGGUCUAAUACCGGAUAGGAGCCAUUUUUAGUGUGGUGGUUGGAAAGUUUUUUCGGUGUAGGAUGAGCUCGCGGCCUAUCAGCUUGUUGGUGGGGUAAUGGCCUACCAAGGCGGCGACGGGUAGCCGGCCUGAGAGGGUGGACGGCCACAUUGGGACUGGGAUACGGCCCAGACUCCUACGGGAGGCAGCAGUGGGGAAUAUUGCACAAUGGGCGCAAGCCUGAUGCAGCGACGCCGCGUGGGGGAUGACGGCCUUCGGGUUGUAAACUCCUUUCGCUAGGGACGAAGCUUUUUGUGACGGUACCUAGAGAAGAAGCACCGGCUAACUACGUG